CUUAUCUCCUGAAGAAUCUAGUAACGGUCUGUCUGAAAAUCGCAGCAGCACGAAACGAUCUUUCUCUCCAAGACUGAAUGAGGAUGUCCACUUGGUUCUGAAGUGCAAGCAACAGCCAGCAGGUUGCGUUGGUUUACAGUGUGUUGUGGUCCUGGAGCCUGGAAGAAGUAAAAGAAAUAUGUAUGUGAUGGCUUUUUGGCAGUGUCGUGUCUGCUUCAAAGAAUGAACAAAAGAGCAACAGAGAGGAAAGACGACAGAGAUUCUAGGAGGGAAGUAGAAGAACCUGGCUAAGUUGGGUGUUCUCCAGGAUGGAUUCUGCAUCAACAAUCGACAUCCUCUUCCAUCUAGAUCAUGGAGGGUUUUCC